GAUGAACGCUGGCGGCGUGCCUAAUACAUGCAAGUCGAGCGAACGGACGAGAAGCUUGCUUUUCUGAUGUUAGCGGCGGACGGGUGAGUAACACGUGGAUAACCUACCUAUAAGACUGGGAUAACUUCGGGAAACCGGAGCUAAUACCGGAUAAUAUUUUGAACCGCAUGGUUCAAAAGUGAAAGACGGUCUUGCUGUCACUUAUAGAUGGAUCCGCGCUGCAUUAGCUAGUUGGUAAGGUAACGGCUUACCAAGGCAACGAUGCAUAGCCGACCUGAGAGGGUGAUCGGCCACACUGGAACUGAGACACGGUCCAGACUCCUACGGGAGGCAGCAGUAGGGAAUCUUACGCAAUGGGCGAAAGCCUGACGGAGCAACGCCGCGUGAGUGAUGAAGGUCUUCGGAUCGUAAAACUCUGUUAUUAGGGAAGAACAUAUGUGUAAGUAACUGUGCACAUCUUGACGGUACCUAAUCAGAAAGCAACGGCUAACUACGUG
rnacentral:rRNA from 1 species